rnacentral:rRNA from 1 species
UACAGAGGCUGCAAGCGUUAUUCGGAUUCACUGGGCGUAAAGGGUGCGUAGGCGGCCAAGUGUGUGAGGCGUGAAAGCCCGGGGCUCAACCCCGGAAUUGCACCUGAAACUACAUGGCUAGAGCAUUGGAGAGGGUAGCAGAAUUCAUGGUGUAGCAGUGAAAUGCGUAGAUAUCAUGAGGAAUACCAGAGGCGAAGGCGGCUACCUGGACAAUUGCUGACGCUCAGGCACGAAAGCGUGGGGAGCAAAAGGG